UGGGGAAUAUUGGACAAUGGGCGAAAGCCUGAUCCAGCCAUGCCGCGUGAGUGAUGAAGGCCCUAGGGUUGUAAAGCUCUUUUGUGCGGGAAGAUAAUGACGGUACCGCAAGAAUAAGCCCCGGCUAACUCCGUGCCAGCAGCCGCGGUAAUACGAAGGGGGCUAGCGUUGCUCGGAAUCACUGGGCGUAAAGGGUGCGUAGGCGGGUUUCUAAGUCAGAGGUGAAAGCCUGGAGCUCAACUCCAGAACUGCCUUUGAUACUGGAAGUCUUGAGUUCGGGAGAGGUGAGUGGAACUGCGAGUGUAGAGGUGAAAUUCGUAGAUAUUCGCAAGAACACCAGUGGCGAAGGCGGCUCACUGGCCCGAUACUGACGCUGAGGCACGAAAGCGUGGGAAGCAAACA
rnacentral:rRNA from 1 species